UCUCAUACCCUCUCUCUCACUAAACUCUUCUCUCUAAUAUCACCAGCAACCAUCCUCCAUCCUAACUCCACCCUUUUCUCCCUUCAAAGCCGCCACCCUCCAUUAAAACCUGAAACUUGACCUCCAAAUAAAAAUCCAAACACUAACCCUAACCGAUCGCCCACCCAAUUACUUGUUGGGAGUCACCUUGAUCAGAUCUGGUUGAAGGGGAGCGGUGGUGGCGAGAAGGAGGGUGAACAACGGGGAUACUCCAACUUGUUCCAGCGAGAUCUGGAGGUGUUCGGACAUAACGACGGGUUGACGGCGGUUGUUCUGGUGGAGACGGAGUGGAUUUGGACACAACGACGGUGGCAAAUCUAGAAGGAGAUCCAUCUUUAGGUUAGGAUUUUUUGAAUGAUUAAUGUAGGUGCCAUUUUUGUUAUCAAGUUUGUUACUUUUGAAAUUGGUGGUGUUUGAUACGAAGAUAGGGAAUCAGAAUGUGUUCAUAACUUACUAUUAUAUGUAUUUAAUAUUGUUGGC
rnacentral:lncRNA from 1 species